rnacentral:rRNA from 1 species
AUACAAGGUGCUGCAUGGUUGUCGUCAGCUCGUGCCGUGAGGUGUCGGGUUAAGUCCCAUAACGAGCGCAACCCCUAUCAUUAGUUGCCAUCAGGUCAAGCUGGGGACUCUAAUGAAACUGCCUACGCAAGUAGUGAGGAAGGUGGGGAUGACGUCAAAUCAGCACGGCCCUUACGUCCAGGGCUACACACGUGCUACAAUGGCCGGUACAAAGGGCAGCUACCUGGUGACAGGAUGCUAAUCUCAAAAGCCGGUCUCAGUUCGGAUCGGAGUCUGCAACUCGACUUCAUGAAGCUGGAAUCGCUAGUAAUCGUGGAUCAGCCAAGCCGCGGUGAAUACGUUCCCGGGCCUU